rnacentral:lncRNA from 1 species
UGAUUUCAGAAUUAUUCUAAUAAAUGGAUUUUUUUUAUUCAGGUUGUGCCUGGUUUCCCCAUGCUGUGCUGUAGGGCAGUGUAGGCAGCAUCUCCCCACUGCUCACGUUACGGUUUCUGCAGCGUUGAAUAUACUGUGCCAAUGGGGAAUUUAAAGUGGUUCUAAAUGGUUUGGAAGACUUUUGCUGGAACUUGGGGGGUUUAAGUUAUUAGCACUUAGAGCUCAUAAAUAGUAUGGGUAUGUGCUAUCCUCCAGUCCAGCUGUCAACUCUUUUCCUGAUAUUUUUGUUUGGUUUUGGGGGUGGUAUAAGAAUAAGGGGGAAGUGGUUUUCUUAGCGUUCAUUCAACAGAGCGAUGUAAAAGUCUUAUUUUCCUGACUUCUCAGUGUCAUAAACAUCAGACAACAUUGGUAGCUUUGAGGGCCCUGAGAUCAUGGACGCGGAUAAACUCAUUAAUCAUGAACUUGAGUAGGUUGGCCAAUUUUUGUCAGCGCUGAUUUUAUGAAACCUUUGUAGCAUGGAGUAAUCGUUGAAGAAUAAUUCUAAGCUGCAAUCUUUCAGGCUUUAGGUUUUGUUGGUGAUGACUCUAUGACUGUAGAAGACCUGAAGGAAGAACGGAAGCCAAAUGGGUCAGCUCUGGUCUGCUUAGCCAAAGCACUCCUCACAUUGCUUU